CCUACGGGAGGCUGCAGUGGGGAAUAUUGCGCAAUGGGCGAAAGCCUGACGCAGCGACGCCGCGUGAGGGAUGAAGGUCUUCGGAUCGGAAACCUCUGUCAGCAGGGAAGAACGGUCACUGUGCUAAUCAGCAGUAAAUUGACGGUACCUGCAAAGGAAGCACCGGCUAAAUACGUGCCAGCAGCCGCGGUAAUAGGGAGGGUGCGAGCGAUAAGCGGAAGUACUGGGCGGAAAGCGCUCGUAGGCGGUAUGUCAAGUCAAGUGUGAAAUCCCCGCGCUCAACGUGGGAACUGCCUUUGAAACUGGCAAACUUGAGUGUGUGAGAGGAUAGUGGAAUUCCAGGUGUAGGAGUGAAAUCCGUAGAUAUCUGGAGGAACAUCAGUGGCGAAGGCGACUAUCUGGCACAUAACUGACGCUGAGGCGCGAAAGCGUGGGGAGCAAACAGGAUUAGAUACCCCAGUAGUC
rnacentral:rRNA from 1 species